GAGUACAACGCGCUACAGUAGUCACUGCUAUAUUUACAUGCAUAUAAUUUAACCUAUUGAUUACCUUCCUAUUCUAUAACUUCUGAAGAAACAACUUUGGUGGUCUUAUAUAGAUGACUGUUCUGCCAGUUUGAACCUGCUAGAGUUAGGAUAACAAUCAAGAAAUAGUUUAAAAAUGAGUGCUUUUUUGUGGGUAUUUGGUGUAGGAUUUGUUAGUAUGCAUGUUGGUUGGUAUGUUAUGCAAAAGCAUUAUGUACCAGAUAAUGAAAGACAGUACCAUCCUUUUGUAAAAUUGUAUCAUCGUUACAUGAAAUCUAAAUCUAUUGAGGAUUAAAGCUUUACAGUUAUUUACAAUAUACAUUGUUCCCAAUGAAUUUAUAUUGAAAAGAAUAUGAUUUGUAAUGAAAGUAGUGUUAUUUGUAUUUCUAUUUGUGGAAUAAAAUGUUGAGUGUUGUA